GCUAUGUUCAAAUAAAUUAAUUCAGUUUGGGGGACUGUUGGUGUUUUCGAUAUUUUUCCUCUUUUUUUAAGGUCCAGAAAAUGGAUUUACCAUAAAAAUAGCAUUAAAGUUGAAUUUUCUGGAGGCAUAUUUGGUAGCUUAUAUGCAUGUUAAUUGAAAUUGUUGACCAAUGCCUAAAGGAUGAGGCAGAACAAACUAUGGAAAAACAGAAAUAUUGCAGCUGCAUGACUGUUAAAAUGAUAAUAUACAAAUGGUGAUAGUAGCAUUAUUAACUAGAGGAACUCUAUUGCUGCAUCAGUAUUGUGAUUGCAAUUGUUAGGCAAGGCAUUUGUAGAUAUAUCGUAUCCUCAUAUGAUUAAUCAUCUAUAGUUGUUCUGUUGAUUAUUAUGGUUGAUCUCCUUUAAUUUUUUCUUUAUUUUUUCCUCAUUUUGUUUCUUCCAAGGGUCAUUAUGGAGUUGGAUUUGAGUCUUUGAUAUACUAUGCAACUAGGCAUUGAUAGUUGGUUGAACUAUUCAGAUCAUUGCUCUUGCUGUUCUUGACUGAUGUGUAACAAGACUUAAUUGUUGAAAUAGGUGACCUCAUGGGUAAUUUUUUUUUCUUUAUUUGCUGGUAGUCUGCUAAGCAUAAAAAGUACCCAUCUAACUCUAAACACGCGUGAAGCUGUCAGGCAUGCAUGGUAACCUGUUGGCUUCUAUCACUGUAUUCUCUCUCUCACUCACUCACUCUCUCCCCUUCUUUCUUUCUCUUGAUGUUAGUACUUGGACAAUAGAAUUCAUUCGUUUUUCAUUUCAUUCAUCAUUCAUGGUUAUUACAUUGAAUCUGGUAGAGAUUAUGGCUUUUCUGUUCUUUUAAUCAUGGUCUUGAACU
rnacentral:misc_RNA from 1 species